AACACGACUCUCGGCAACGGAUAUCUCGGCUCUCGCAUCGAUGAAGAACGUAGCGAAAUGCGAUACCUGGUGUGAAUUGCAGAAUCCCGCGAACCAUCGAGUCUUUGAACGCAAGUUGCGCCCGAGGCCAUCCGGACGAGGGCACGCCUGCCUGGGCGUCACGC
rnacentral:rRNA from 1 species